ACCUGGAAUAGCACAACUGGUAGAGCACAAGACUCGUAAUCUCAGGGUUGUGGGUUUGAGCCCACGCUGGGCA